rnacentral:rRNA from 1 species
CCUACGGGAGGCAGCAGUGGGGAAUAUUGGGCAAUGGGCGCAAGCCUGACCCAGCAACGCCGCGUGAAGGAAGAAGGCUUUCGGGUUGUAAACUUCUUUUGUCAGGGAAGAGUAGAAGACGGUACCUGACGAAUAAGCCACGGCUAACUACGUGCCAGCAGCCGCGGUAAUACGUAGGUGGCAAGCGUUGUCCGGAUUUACUGGGUGUAAAGGGCGUGUAGCCGGGUUGACAAGUCAGAUGUGAAAUCCUGCGGCUUAACCAUGGUACUGCUCUGGAAACUGUGGAGCUUGAGUGCGGGAGGGGCAGGCGGAAUUCCUAGUGUAGCGGUGAAAUGCGGAGAUAUUAGGAGGAACACCGGCGGCGAAGGCGGCCUGCUGGACCGUAACUGACGUUGAGGCUCGAAAGCGUGGGGAGCAAACAGGAUUAGAUACCCUUGUAGUC